UUUGGUUAAGUUAGAAAGGGCGCACGGUGGAUGCCUUGACACUAGGAGUCGAUGAAGGACGGGACUAACGCCGAUAUGCUUCGGGGAGCUGUAAGUAAGCUUUGAUCCGAAGAUUUCCGAAUGGGGAAACCCACCAUACGUAAUGGUAUGGUAUCCUUAUCUGAAUACAUAGGGUAAGGAAGACAGACCCAGGGAACUGAAACAUCUAAGUACCUGGAGGAAGAGAAAGCAAAUGCGAUUUCCUGAGUAGCGGCGAGCGAAACGGAACAUAGCCCAAACCAAGAGGCUUGCCUCUUGGGGUUGUAGGACAUUCUAUACGGAGUUACAAAGGAACGAGGUAGACGAAGCGACCUGGAAAGGUCCGUCGUAGAGGGUAACAACCCCGUAGUCGAAAUUUCGUUCUCUCUUGAAUGUAUCCUGAGUACGGCGGAACACGUGAAAUUCCGUCGGAAUCUGGGAGGACCAUCUCCCAAGGCUAAAUACUCCCUAGUGAUCGAUAGUGAACCAGUACCGUGAGGGAAAGGUGAAAAGCACCCCGGAAGGGGAGUGAAAGAGAUCCUGAAACCGUGUGCCUACAAAUAGUCAGAGCCCGUUAAUGGGUGAUGGCGUGCCUUUUGUAGAAUGAACCGGCGAGUUACGAUCCCGUGCGAGGUUAAGCUGAAGAGGCGGAGCCGCAGCGAAAGCGAGUCUGAAUAGGGCGUUUAGUACGUGGUCGUAGACCCGAAACCAGGUGAUCUACCCAUGUCCAGGGUGAAGUUCAGGUAACACUGAAUGGAGGCCCGAACCCACGCACGUUGAAAAGUGCGGGGAUGAGGUGUGGGUAGCGGAGAAAUUCCAAUCGAACCUGGAGAUAGCUGGUUCUCCCCGAAAUAGCUUUAGGGCUAGCCUUAAGUGUAAGAGUCUUGGAGGUAGAGCACUGAUUGGACUAGGGGUCCUCAUCGGAUUACCGAAUUCAGUCAAACUCCGAAUGCCAAUGACUUAUCCUUAGGAGUCAGACUGCGAGUGAUAAGAUCCGUAGUCAAAAGGGAAACAGCCCAGACCGCCAGCUAAGGUCCCAAAGUGUGUAUUAAGUGGAAAAGGAUGUGGAGUUGCUUAGACAACUAGGAUGUUGGCUUAGAAGCAGCCACCAUUUAAAGAGUGCGUAAUAGCUCACUAGUCGAGUGACUCUGCGCCGAAAAUGUACCGGGGCUAAAUACACCACCGAAGCUGCGGAUUGAUACCAAUGGUAUCAGUGGUAGGGGAGCGUUCUAAGGACAGUGAAGUCAGACCGGAAGGACUGGUGGAGUGCUUAGAAGUGAGAAUGCCGGUAUGAGUAGCGAAAGACGGGUGAGAAUCCCGUCCACCGAAUGCCUAAGGUUUCCUGAGGAAGGCUCGUCCGCUCAGGGUUAGUCAGGACCUAAGCCGAGGCCGACAGGCGUAGGCGAUGGACAACAGGUUGAUAUUCCUGUACCACCUCUUUAUCGUUUGAGCAAUGGAGGGACGCAGAAGGAUAGAAGAAGCGUGCGAUUGGUUGUGCACGUCCAAGCAGUUAGGCUGAUAAGUAGGCAAAUCCGCUUAUCGUGAAGGCUGAGCUGUGAUGGGGAAGCUCCUUAUGGAGCGAAGUCUUUGAUUCCCCGCUGCCAAGAAAAGCUUCUAGCGAGAUAAAAGGUGCCUGUACCGCAAACCGACACAGGUAGGCGAGGAGAGAAUCCUAAGGUGUGCGAGAGAACUCUGGUUAAGGAACUCGGCAAAAUGACCCCGUAACUUCGGGAGAAGGGGUGCUUUCUUAACGGAAAGCCGCAGUGAAUAGGCCCAAGCGACUGUUUAGCAAAAACACAGCUCUCUGCGAAGCCGUAAGGCGAAGUAUAGGGGGUGACACCUGCCCGGUGCUGGAAGGUUAAGGAGAGGGGUUAGCGUAAGCGAAGCUCUGAACUGAAGCCCCAGUAAACGGCGGCCGUAACUAUAACGGUCCUAAGGUAGCGAAAUUCCUUGUCGGGUAAGUUCCGACCCGCACGAAAGGUGUAACGAUUUGGGCACUGUCUCAACCAGAGACUCGGUGAAAUUAUAGUACCUGUGAAGAUGCAGGUUACCCGCGACAGGACGGAAAGACCCCGUGGAGCUUUACUGUAGCCUGAUAUUGAAUUUUGGUACAGUUUGUACAGGAUAGGCGGGAGCCUUUGAAACCGGAGCGCUAGCUUCGGUGGAGGCGCUGGUGGGAUACCGCCCUGACUGUAUUGAAAUUCUAACCUACGGGUCUUAUCGACCCGGGAGACAGUGUCAGGUGGGCAGUUUGACUGGGGCGGUCGCCUCCUAAAGUGUAACGGAGGCGCCCAAAGGUUCCCUCAGAAUGGUUGGAAAUCAUUCGUAGAGUGCAAAGGCAUAAGGGAGCUUGACUGCGAGACCUACAAGUCGAGCAGGGACGAAAGUCGGGCUUAGUGAUCCGGUGGUUCCGCAUGGAAGGGCCAUCGCUCAACGGAUAAAAGCUACCCCGGGGAUAACAGGCUUAUCUCCCCCAAGAGUCCACAUCGACGGGGAGGUUUGGCACCUCGAUGUCGGCUCAUCGCAUCCUGGGGCUGUAGUCGGUCCCAAGGGUUGGGCUGUUCGCCCAUUAAAGCGGUACGCGAGCUGGGUUCAGAACGUCGUGAGACAGUUCGGUCCCUAUCCGUCGUGGGCGUAGGAAAUUUGAGAGGAGCUGUCCUUAGUACGAGAGGACCGGGAUGGACGCACCGCUGGUGUACCAGUUGUUCUGCCAAGGGCAUAGCUGGGUAGCUAUGUGCGGAAGGGAUAAGUGCUGAAAGCAUCUAAGCAUGAAGCCCCCCUCAAGAUGAGAUUUCCCAUAGCGUAAGCUAGUAAGAUCCCUGAAAGAUGAUCAGGUUGAUAGGUUCGAGGUGGAAGCAUGGUGACAUGUGGAGCUGACGAAUACUAAUAGAUCGAGGACUUAACCAUAUAA
rnacentral:rRNA from 1 species